CCUACGGGAGGCAGCAGUGGGGAAUAUUGCACAAUGGGCGCAAGCCUGAUGCAGCAACGCCGCGUGAGGGACGACGGCCUUCGGGUUGUAAACCUCUUUUAGUAGGGAAGAAGCGAAAGUGACGGUACCUGCAGAAAAAGCACCGGCUAACUACGUGCCAGCAGCCGCGGUAAUACGUAGGGUGCAAGCGUUAUCCGGAAUUAUUGGGCGUAAAGAGCUCGUAGGCGGUUUGUCGCGUCUGCUGUGAAAACUGGAGGCUCAACCUCCAGCCUGCAGUGGGUACGGGCAAACUAGAGUGCGGUAGGGGAGAUUGGAAUUCCUGGUGUAGCGGUGGAAUGCGCAGAUAUCAGGAGGAACACCGAUGGCGAAGGCAGAUCUCUGGGCCGUAACUGACGCUGAGGAGCGAAAGCAUGGGGAGCGAACAGGAUUAGAUACCCUGGUAGUCCAUGCCGUAAACGUUGGGCGCUAGAUGUGGGGAACCCAUUCCGACGGUUUCCGUGUCGCNGCUACGACAUAAGUCGCCCGCCGUCGGGAGGUACGGCCGCGACGACGUAAACUACAANAGAAGUAGACGGCGNGAGACGUGCCGACGACGACGACGAGGGAGGAGG
rnacentral:rRNA from 1 species